GUCGGGUUCCAGUGAGGUGGAUGUCAGCAGAGUCGCUCUGGUCAGGAUGUACACGCCCAAGAGUGACGUAUGUCGCUGGUGUAUUGCUCUGGGAAAUAAGUAGCCCCUAGGUGCGGUGCCUUAUUGCUCCAUCCAGCGACCAGAGCAUGUUAUCACAGCUGUGAAGGCAGGACAUCGACUAGAAAAGCCUCUCUCGUGUUCCGAUGAAAUGUACAACAUCAUGACAUCGUGUUGGCAGCAUGAGCCGAUCGAUAGGCCCUCCUUUGAGGAGAUCCACGAGAGGCUGCAGAACAUGCUAGAGAACGAGAGCGAGUAUCUCUCGCUAGUGAACGAGUUACCGGGCUCUGCUGAUGCUUCCGACCAGCAUAGUCCGCUUCCCUGUGAAAGCAACAACGAGUCGAUGUCGUGAGAUUCAACGAA